rnacentral:rRNA from 1 species
GACAGAGGAUGCAAGCGUUAUCCGGAAUGAUUGGGCGUAAAGCGUCUGUAGGUGGCUUUUUAAGUCCGCCGUCAAAUCCCAGGGCUCAACCCUGGACAGGCGGUGGAAACUACCAAGCUGGAGUAUGGUAGGGGUAGAGGGAAUUUCCAGUGGAGCGGUGAAAUGCGUAGAUAUUGGAAAGACCACCGAUGGCGAAGGCACUCUACUGGGCCACUACUGACACUGAGAGACGAAAGCUAGGGGAGCAAAUGGG